GGGUGAAACGGGCCGUCCCCAUACCCCGUCCGGUAUGGGCGCCAAAACACAUAAGAUCUCCAUACCCCGUCCGAUAUGGGAGACCACAAUCCCGGUAGGGUCCCCUACGGACCCGGUCCGUCCACCAUCUCCCAGGAUAUCUAGUCAGGCUGACCACAUUAUGCCAUUACCCAUUUACAUAAUUUUUCAUUCUCUUUUUCCUCAGUCAGCAUCAUUAAUCCACAUACAAACAAGCAAAACAGUAAUUUAUGCCAAACAGACAACAUACAGUAUCAAUAUCCCGAUCAUUCAAUCCAUAAUCAAUAAAAUAGUAGAAUAUGCACACGAAACUAUAAAAUGAUAACAUCAAACCUCAUACUGCAUUUAAAACUGUAAACAGGCCAAAUAACAGCUAACCGACAAAACACACCAGACUCGGGCUCCAUUAGCGACCUUAAGCAAUUUCACACAUUCGUUGAUUCAUGAAAUACCGUUUUAUCAUUUAUUGAACCUUAAAACCGUGAUAGGAAAUAGGGUGAGGGGUCCUUACUCGUUUUGGGGUCCGAACGCGGCUUCACAGUGCGCCUACAGGCUGUCCCUAAUUUUCCCUGAAUUUUUUUCUGGGAAACUGAAACGCACUAACGGUACCUGCACGCGUUUCAAAAAAUCUCAAAUUAGGCACAGGGCUCCUUUUUGGCCAAUAUCGCAAUUCCAGCACGGCAUCUCUCCCGUGCUCCGGCGGCGGCGAUUCGCCU
rnacentral:lncRNA from 1 species